rnacentral:rRNA from 1 species
CCUACGGGUGGCAGCAGUGGGGAAUAUUGCACAAUGGGGGAAACCCUGAUGCAGCGACGCCGCGUGAGUGAAGAAGUAAUUCGUUAUGUAAAGCUUUAUCUGCAGGGAAGAAAAUGACGGUACCUGAGUACGAAUCCCCGGCUAACUACGUGCCAGCAGCCGCGGUAAUACGUAGGGGGCCAGCGUUAUCCGGAUUUACUGGGUGUAAAGGGGGGGUAGACGGCAGUGCAAGUCUGGAGUGAAAGAGGGGGGGACAAACCCCGGACUGCUCGGGAAACUGUAAGGCUGGAGUGGAGGAGAGGUAAGUGGAAUGCGUGGUGUAGCGGUGAAAUGCGUAGAUAUUACGAAGAACACCGAUGGCGAAGGCAGCAUACUGGAGUGUAACGGACGUUGAGGCUCGAAAGCGUGGGUAGCAAACAGGAUUAGAUACCCGUGUAGUC